CGGAGUGACGCCGCGUGGGGGACGAAGGCCUUCGGGUUGUAAACCCCUGUCAGAGGGAAAGAAGGGUGUCGGCGCGAUAACCGCCGGCGCUUGACGGUACCUUCAGAGGAAGCCCCGGCCAACUCUGUGCCAGCAGCCGCGGUAAGACAGAGGGGGCAAGCGUUGCUCGGAAUCACUGGGCGUAAAGGGCGCGUAGGCGGGAUGGCAAGUCAGUCGUGAAAUCUCUCGGCUCAACCGAGAAACGUCGGCUGAUACUGCCGUUCUUGAGGGAUGCAGAGGAGACUGGAAUUCCCGGUGUAGCGGUGAAAUGUGUAGAGAUCGGGAGGAACACCGGUGGCGAAGGCGGGUCUCUGGGCAUCUCCUGACGCUGAGGCGCGAAAGCGUGGGGAGCAAACGGGAUUAGAUACCCCGGUAGUCCACGCUGUAAACGAUGACGACUAGGUGUGGGGUGGUUCAGUCCAUUCCGUGCCGCAGCUAACGCAUUAAGUCGUCCGCCUGGGGAGUACGGCCGCAAGGUUG
rnacentral:rRNA from 1 species